UACGGAAGGCAGCAGUGGGGAAUAUUGCACAAUGGGCGCAAGCCUGAUGCAGCCAUGCCGCGUGUAUGAAGAAGGCCUUCGGGUUGUAAAGUACUUUCAGUCGUGAGGAAGGUGUUAAGGUUAAUAACCUUAGCAAUUGACGUUAGCGACAGAAGAAGCACCGGCUAACUCCGUGCCAGCAGCCGCGGUAAUACGGAGGGUGCGAGCGUUAAUCGGAAUUACUGGGCGUUAAAGGGCACGCAGGCGGUUAAUUAAGUUGGAUGUGAAAUCCCCGGGCUUAACCUGGGAAUGGCAUUCAAGACUGGUUAGCUAGAGUCUUGUAGAGGGGGUAGAAUUCCGAUGUGUAGCGGUGAAAUGCGUAGAGAUGUGGAGGAAUACCGGUGGCGAAGGCGGCCCCUGGACAAGACUGACGCUCAUGUGCGAAAGCGUGGGGAGCAAA
rnacentral:rRNA from 1 species